UCUCCGUUGGUGAACCAGCGGAGGGAUCAUUACCGCGUUUUUCUACUCCCAAACUCCUGUGAACUUAUACCUUUACUGUUGCUUCGGCGGGUUAACGCCCCGGAAGGCCCAAAAAGCCGCCGGAACCAGGCGCCCGCCGGGGGACCCAAACUCUUGUAUUUCUUACUUUGCAUGUCUGAGUGGAAUCAUAAACAAAUGAAUCAAAACUUUCAACAACGGAUCUCUUGGUUCUG
rnacentral:misc_RNA from 1 species